rnacentral:rRNA from 1 species
GAAACUCAAAGGAAUUNACGGGGGCCCGCACAAGCAGUGGAGUAUGUGGUUUAAUUCGGCUGAAACUCGCCUACAUGAAGCUGGAGUUGCUAGUAAUCGCGAAUCAGCAUGUCGCGGUGAAUACGUUCCCGGGCCUUGUACACACCGCCCGUCACACCAUGAGAGUUGGCAAUACCCAACGUACGUGAUCUAACCCGCAAGGGAGGAAGCGUCCUAAGGUAGGGUCAGCGAUUGGGGUGAAGUCGUAACAAGGUAUC